rnacentral:rRNA from 1 species
UACAGAGGGUGCGAGCGUUAAUCGGAAUUACUGGGCGUAAAGCGCGCGUAGGCGGCUUUUCAAGUCGAUUGUGAAAUCCCCGGGCUUAACCUGGGAACUGCAGUCGAGACUGUCUAGCUAGAGUAUGGGAGAGGGAAGUGGAAUUUCAGGUGUAGCGGUGAAAUGCGUAGAUAUCUGAAGGAACAUCAGUGGCGAAAGCGACUUCCUGGACCAAUACUGACGCUCAAGUGCGAAAGCGUGGGGAGCAAACAGG